rnacentral:rRNA from 1 species
AUUGAACGCUGGCGGCAGGCCUAACACAUGCAAGUCGAGCGGGGUUUUCGGACCUAGCGGCGGACGGGUGAGUAAUGCGUAGGAGGCUACCCGAUAGAGGGGGAUACCAGUUGGAAACGACUGUUAAUACCGCAUAAUGUCUACGGACCAAAGUGUGGGACCUUCGGGCCACAUGCUAUCGGAUGCGCCUACGUGGGAUUAGCUAGUUGGUGAGGUAAUGGCUCACCAAGGCGACGAUCCCUAGCUGGUUUGAGAGGAUGAUCAGCCACACUGGAACUGAGACACGGUCCAGACUCCUACGGGAGGCAGCAGUGGGGAAGAUUGGACAAUGGGCGCAAGCCUGAUCCAGCCAUGCCGCGUGUGUGAAGAAGGCCUUCGGGUUGUAAAGCACUUUCAGUAGGGAGGAAGGGUGUUGUGUUAAUAGCACAGCAUUUUGACGUUACCUACAGAAGAAGCACCGACUAACUCUGUGCCAGCAGCCGCCGCGGUA